GACGAACGCUGGCGGCGUGCUUAACACAUGCAAGUCGAACGGUGAAGCUCCAGCUUGCUGGAGUGGAUCAGUGGCGAACGGGUGAGUAACACGUGAGCAACCUGCCCCUGACUCUGGAAUAAGCGCUGGAAACGGCGUCUAAUACUGGAUAUGAGAAGGGUCCGCAUGGACACUUUCUGGAAAGUUUUUCGGUUGGGGAUGGGCUCGCGGCCUAUCAGCUUGUUGGUGAGGUAAUGGCUAACCAAGGCGACGACGGGUAGCCGGCCUGAGAGGGCGACCGGCCACACUGGGACUGAGACACGGCCCAGACUCCUACGGGAGGCAGCAGUGGGGAAUAUUGCACAAUGGGCGAAAGCCUGAUGCAGCGACGCCGCGUGAGGGAUGACGGCCUUCGGGUUGUAAACCUCUUUCAGCAGGGAAGAAGCGAAAGUGACGGUACCUGCAGAAGAAGCACCGGCUAACUACGUG
rnacentral:rRNA from 1 species